rnacentral:lncRNA from 1 species
UGCAGAAUCUUGAAUCAUGUUAUCUGUCCUCUUAAAUAUGCUGUUUGUAACCCCAGAAUAGCAGCAGCACAUUUCGUUCCGUUUGGCAGCUGGGUGAACAGCAACAUGAACAGACAGCAGACACUAAAAGAGGACUCAGGACUGAAAAUAGGCUCUUUAAUUUUUCCUACUUAUUUGCUGACAGAUGGUUUCCAACAGCAUUUGUCAAGUGUUCCUUACUAUAUUGCAAGGAAAGUAAUAAUUUGAAGAGUCCUUAGACAGAUCUUUGUGCUGUAGAGUGAUGUAUUCAAAUAACAGGUCACGACGGUCACUAUUUUCCAGGAAAACAUCCUCUGCUUUCUUCCACUGGUUAUGAUUAGUACCCUUUUCCUAUGGCCAGUAGGAAAAACAUCUGUGGUAAGAUCACCAUUUAUCUCUGCAUUUCUUCAUGUGAUACAGACAGCUACCUGAAAUCCCAGAUGUUGGAUCAUGAAAUGUGUUCUCUCAGUGCCAGUGUCUGGUCACUUGGCAGAGUCCAAAGUUAUCAGAAGUCUGUCAUGCAAGCAGCUCUCAAAUUGCCUUUGGGUAAGUCAUGUGUUUUUGGCUUUCAUUAAAUCUGUGAGGGGAUUUGUGUUCUCCUGGUGCUAUGUUCCAUUUAGAUUCAUAGAUGUUAAGGCCAGAAGGGAGCAUUGUGAUCAUCUAGUCUGACCCCCCUGCAUAACACAAGCCACAGGAUACUCCUGAUUUAAUUCCUGUUUGAAGUAGAGCAUAGCUUUUACAGAAAAACAAACAAAUAAACAAACAAAAAAUCCCA